UACGUAGGGGGCAAGCGUUGUCCGGAAUCAUUGGGCGUAAAGAGCGUGUAGGCGGCCUGAUAAGUCGGUUGUGAAAGUCAAGGGCUCAACCCUUGAAUGCCGACCGAUACUGUCAGGCUAGAGUCCGGAAGAGGCGAGUGGAAUUCCUGGUGUAGCGGUGAAAUGCGCAGAUAUCAGGAGGAACACCAAUGGCGAAGGCAGCUCGCUGGGACGGUACUGGCGCUGAGACGCGAAAGCGUGGGGAGCGAACAGG
rnacentral:rRNA from 1 species